UAGGGAAUCUUCCACAAUGGGCGAAGGCCUGAUGGAGCAACGCCGCGUGUGUGAUGAAGGGUUUCGGCUCGUAAAACACUGUUGUAAGAGAAGAAUGACAUUGAGAGUAACUGUUCAAUGUGUGACGGUAUCUUACCAGAAAGGAACGGCUAAAUACGUGCCUG
rnacentral:rRNA from 1 species